rnacentral:rRNA from 1 species
UCCCGAGCGUUGUNCGGAUUUAUUGGGCGUAAAGGGAGCGCAGGCAGUCAGGAAAGUCUGGAGUAAAAGGCUAUGGNUCAACCAUAGUGUGCUCUGGAAACUNUCUGACUUGAGUGCAGAAGGGGAGAGUGGAAUUCCAUGUGUAGCGGUGAAAUGCGUAGAUAUAUGGAGGAACACCAGCGGCGAAAGCGGCUCUCUGGUCUGUCACUGACGCUGAGGCUCGAAAGCGUGGGUAGCGAACAGGAUUAGAUACCCUGGUAGUCCACGCCGUAAACGAUGAGUGCUAGGUGUUAGGCCCUUUCCGGGGCUUAGUGCCGGAGCUAACGCAAUAAGCACUCCGCCUGGGGAGUACGACCGCAAGCUUGAAACUCAAAGGAAUUGACGGGGGCCCGCACAAGCGGUGGAGCAUGUGGUUUAAUUCGAAGCAACGCGAAGAACCUUACCAGGUCUUGACAUCCCGAUGCUAUUCUUAGAGAUAGGAAGUUACUUCGGUACAUCGGAGACAGGUGGUGCAUGGUUGUCGUCAGCUCGUGUCGUGAGAUGUUGGGUUAAGUCCCGCAACGAGCGCAACCCUUAUUGUUAGUUGCCAUCAUUAAGUUGGGCACUCUAGCGAGACUGCCGGUAAUAAACCGGAGGAAGGUGGGGAUGACGUCAAAUCAUCAUGCCCCUUAUGACCUGGGCUACACACGUGCUACAAUGGUCGGUACAACGAGUUGCGAGCCGGUGACGGCAAGCUAAUCUCUGAAAGCCGAUCUCAGUUCGGAUUGGAGGCUGCAACUCGCCUCCAUGAAGUCGGAAUCGCUAGUAAUCGCGGAUCAGCACGCCGCGGUGAAUACGUUCCCGGGCCUUGUACACACCGCCCGUCACACCACGAGAGUUUGUAACACCCGAAGUCGGUGAGGUAACCUUUUAGGGGCCAGCCGCCUAA